rnacentral:rRNA from 1 species
UGGAGCAAUCCACGAGACCCAUACACAGGUGCUGCAUGGUUGUCGUCAGCUCGUGUCGUGAGAUGUACGGUUAAGUCCGUGAACGAGCGCAACCCCUGCCCUUAGUUGCUAAUAUGCGAAAGCAUAUGCACUCUAAGGGGACCGCCAGCGGAAAGCUGGAGGAAGGUGGGGAUGACGUCAAAUCCUCAUGGCCUUUAUGUCCAGGGCUACACACAUGCGACAAUGGUCGAGACAACGCGUUGCAAACCAGUAAUGGUAAGCUAAUCGCAUAAAAUCGACCUCAGUACGGAUUGAGGGUUGCAAUUCACCCUCAUGAAGCUGGAGUUGCUAGUAACCGCAGGUCAGCUAUACUGCGAUGAAUACGUUCCCGGGGCUU